rnacentral:rRNA from 1 species
UACGUAGGGUGCGAGCGUUAAUCGGAAUUACUGGGCGUAAAGCGUGCGCAGGCGGUUUGUUAAGUCCGCUGUGAAAUCCCCGAGCUCAACUUGGGAAUUGCAGUGGAUACUGGCAGGCUGGAGUACGGUAGAGGAAGGUGGAAUUCCCGGUGUAGCAGUGAAAUGCGUAGAGAUCGGGAGGAACACCAGUGGCGAAGGCGGCUCACUGGCCCGGUACUGACGCUGAGGUGCGAAAGCGUGGGGAGCAAACAGG